rnacentral:rRNA from 1 species
CAGGCCUAACACAUGCAAGUCGAGCGGUAACAUUUCAAAAGCUUGCUUUUGAAGAUGACGAGCGGCGGACGGGUGAGUAAUGGCUGGGAACCUGCCCUGACGUGGGGGAUAACAGUUGGAAACGACUGCUAAUACCGCAUGAUGUCUACGGACCAAAGAGGGGGAUCUUCGGACCUCUCGCGUCGGGAUGGGCCCCAGUUGGGAUUAGCUAGUUGGUGAGGUAAUGGCUCACCAAGGCGACGAUCCCUAGCUGGUUUGAGAGGAUGAUCAGCCCACACUGGAACUGAGAACACGGUCCAGACUCCUACGGGAGGCAGCAGUGGGGAUUAUUGCACAAUGGGGGGAACCCUGAUGCAGCCAUGCCGCGUGUGUGAAGAAGGCCUUCGGGUUGUAAAGCACUUUCAGACAGUGAGGAAGGUUGAUACGUUAAUAGACGUAUUAGACUUGACGUUAGCUGCAGAAGAAGCACCGCUAACUCCUGCCAGCAGCCGCGGUAAUACGGAGGGUGCGAGCGUUAAUCGGAAUUACUGGGCGUAAAGCGCAUGCAGGCGGUUUGUUAAGCAAGAUGUGAAAGCCCCGGGCUCAACCUGGGAACCGCAUUUUGAAACUGGCAGGCUAGAGUCUUGUAGAGGGGGGUAGAAUUUCAGGUGUAGACGGUGAAAUGCGUAGAGAUCUGAAGGAAUACCGGUGGCGGAGGCGGCCCCCUGGACAAAGACUGACGCUCAGAUGCGAAAGCGUGGGGAGCAAACAGGAUUAGAUACCCUGGUAGUCCACGNCUGUAAACGAUGUCUACUUGGAGGUUGUGACCUAGAGUCGUGGCUAUUCCGGAGCUAACGCGUNAAGUAGACCGCCUGGGGAGUACGGUCGCAAGAUUAAAAACCUCAAAUGAAUUGACGGGGGGCCCGCACAAGACGGUGGAGCAUGUGGUGUAAUUCGAUGCACGCGAAGAACCUUACCUACUCUUGACAUCCAGAGAAGCCGGAAGAGAUUCUGGUGUGCCUCCGGGAGCUCUGAGACCGGUGCUGCAUGCCUGUCGUCCGCUCGUGUUGUGAAAUGUGGGUAAAGUNCGCACCGAGCNCACCCCUAAUCNUGUUUUGCCGCGAGUAUUGUCCGGAACCUCACGGGAGACUGCC